ACAGAGGUGGCAAGCGUUGUUCGGAAUUACUGGGCGUAAAGGGCGCGUAGGCGGUCUUGCAAGUCCCGUGUGAAAUCCCUCGGCUCAACUGAGGAACUGCACGGGAAACUGCUUGGCUUGAGUUCGGGAGAGGGAAGCGGAAUUCCGGGUGUAGCGGUGAAAUGCGUAGAUAUCCGGAGGAACACCGGUGGCGAAGGCGGCUUCCUGGACCGACACUGACGCUGAGGAGCGAAAGCGUGGGGAGCAAACCGGA
rnacentral:rRNA from 1 species